GUAGGUGAACCUGCGGAAGGAUCAUUACAGAGUUCAUGCCCUUACGGGUAGAUCUCCCACCCUUGAAUAUCUUACCUUUGUUGCUUUGGCGGGUCGCUUCGGCCACCGGCUUUCAGCUGGUGAGUGCCCGCCAGAGGACCCUAAACUCCGAAUUUAGUAUUGUCUGAGAACUAUAUAAUAGUUAAAACUUUCAACAACGGAUCUCUUGGUUCUG
rnacentral:misc_RNA from 1 species